CGGUCUCUCACGCCCCUCUCCUUCUUCGCGCGACGCUGCUGCACGCGCAGCACUGCGGACGACCCACGAGCGCUGAACCGCCGGAGACCGUCGCCGGAGAUCGUCGUUGCUGCUCGCCGGCGUCCCUCCCUCAGGCGUGAUUUCGUCCUCCUGCUCCUAGUAGCAGAGAUUAAAGAAGAUAAAGGAUAUUACAAGCCUCCCCCGGCUAUCAAGGUUGGUAAGCAGGAAUUCAGGUAUGGGAGAACAGUUGUGGAUCACGAUUAUAUUGCGUUAUGAAGAUUAUGUAGGAUUCAUGAGGUUUUAAGAUACUUUGUAUAAUGGAUAAACAAGUAUUAUUAUACGAUGAGUAUUUGUAUAGUGAAUUUUAAAUU